UUGGAGGGCAAGUCUGGUGCCAGCAGCCGCGGUAAUUCCAGCUCCAAUAGCGUAUAUUAAAGUUGUUGCAGUUAAAAAGCUCGUAGUUGAAUUUCGGGGUCAGUAGAUUGGUCAUGCCACUGGUAUGUACUGGUCUCACUGAUUCCUCCUUCCUGAUGAGCCGUAAUGCCAUUAAUUUGGUGUUGCGAGGAAUCUGGACUGUUACUUUGAAAAAAUUAGAGUGUUUAAAGCAGGCUAACGCUUGAAUACAUUAGCAUGGAAUAAUGAAAUAGGACGUUCGAUCUUAUUUUGUUGGUUUCUAAGAUUGACGUAAUGAUUAAUAGGGAUAGUUGGGGGCAUUAGUAUUCAAUUGUCAGAGGUGAAAUUCUUGGAUUUAUUGAAGACUAACUACUGCGAAAGCAUUUGCCAAGGAUGUUUUCAUUAAUCAAGAACGAAAGUUAGGGGAUCGAAGACGAUCAGAUACCGUCGUAGUCUUAACCAUAAACUAUGCCGACUAGGGAUCGGACGAUGUUAUUUUUUGACUCGUUCGGCGCCUUACGGGAAAC
rnacentral:rRNA from 1 species